rnacentral:tRNA from 1 species
GGCUUGGUUGUCCAGUGGUAGGAUUCUCGCUUAGGGAUUACUAAACUCUAAGCUUUUUUGCGAGAGGUCCCGGGUUCAAUUCCCGGCUAAGCCC